rnacentral:lncRNA from 1 species
AAUCUGUGGUUUACCCUUCUGGUCCUGCAGCUGUCCAUAGCAAAGAAAAGCAUUAAAAAGCUGUUAAGUCGUCAGUGCUCCGAAAUGUCUUGAAGUCACAGGGAGGCAGAAGGUGACACCGCACAUCCCAGGGAACUGUGCUGCCUGCCCAUAGACCAAGUUUUCAAGAAUAAAAGACAGGAGCCAGAGUGGCUGCACCAAAACACUCAUGGAAAGCAGAAGACGAUGGAGUCCAGCCAGACACCAGCCAGGAGGAAGCAGGAAGGUACCUGGACAAGCUGCUGUGGGAAACCAGGCAGGAAAUAAGCCCACAGCCAGAAAUGUGGCUGCAAGCAGCACAUCCACAGAUCUCCAGCAGCAGAUAAGUUGCUUUGCCCAGGGAAGUUACUUUGCUGCAAUCUAA